GAUGAACGCUGGCGGCGUGCCUAAUACAUGCAAGUCGAACGAACUAAUUUAUUAGUGAGUGGCGAACGGGUGAGUAAUACAUAAGUAACCUGCCCUAGACAGGGGGAUAACUACUGGAAACGGUAGCUAAAACCGCAUAGGUAUGGGAAUCGCAUGAUUGCCAUAUUAAAAGUGCUAAGGCACUGGUAGAGGAUGGACUUAUGGCGCAUUAGCUAGUUGGUAGGGUAAAGGCUUACCAAGGCGACGAUGCGUAGCCGACCUGAGAGGGUGACCGGCCACACUGGGACUGAGACACGGCCCAGACUCCUACGGGAGGCAGCAGUGAGGAAUAUUGGUCAAUGGACGGAAGUCUGAACCAGCCAUGCCGCGUGCAGGAUGACGGCUCUAUGAGUUGUAAACUGCUUUUGUAUAGGGGUAAAAGUAGAUACGUGUAUCUAUCUGAAAGUACUAUACGAAUAAGGAUCGGCUAACUCCGUGCCAGCCGCCGCAGUAAUAC
rnacentral:rRNA from 1 species